rnacentral:rRNA from 1 species
UGCGUAGGUGGCAGGGUAAGUCGGAUGUGAAAUCUCCGAGCUCAACUCGGAAAUGGCAUUGGAAACUACCCAGCUCGAGGGUUGGAGGGGGGACUGGAAUGCUUGGUGUAGCAGUGAAAUGCGUAGAUAUCAAGCGGAACACCAGUGGCGAAGGCGAGUCCCUGGACAACUCCUGACACUGAGGCACGAAAGCUAGGGAGGCAAACA